CCCCUCUAAGGAUCUCACCUGGAGAGUUUCCAGUACUCUACCAGUUUCGGUUACGGGAGGGAGAGUCAAGCAGAGUCAUACCCAUUUCAUUCCUAGCUUGGGCAGCGGCCCGCGAGUGGAAGGCAAUCUGCUGCAAGU